rfam:TPA: Bos taurus chromosome 14, whole genome shotgun sequence.
UCCCUGAUAGCUCAGUUGGUAAAGAAUCUGCCUAAAAUGCAGGAGACCCUGGUUUGAUUCCUGGGUCGGGAA